GCCAGUGUGGUGGAGUGGUUUAAAUGUUGGACUAUGACUCCAGAGACCAGAGUUCAAUUUCCAGCUUGGCCA